AACGAACGCUGGCGGCGUGCUUAACACAUGCAAGUCGAACGGCAGCACGGGGGCAACCCUGGUGGCGAGUGGCGAACGGGUGAGUAACACAUCGGAACGCGUCCUGUAAUGGGGGAUAACCUGGCGAAAGCCAGGCUAAUACCGCAUACGUCCUGAGGGAGAAAGCGGGGGAUUGGAAACGACCUCGCGUUAUAGGAGUGGCCGAUGUCGGAUUAGCUAGUUGGUGGGUAAAGCCUACCAAGGCGACGAUCCGUAGCUGGUCUGAGAGGACGACCAGCCACACUGGGACUGAGACACGGCCCAGACACCUACGGGUGGCUG
rnacentral:rRNA from 1 species